AGAGUUGAUCCUGGCUUAGGACGAACGCUGGCGGCGUGCCUAACACAUGCAAGUCGAGCGAGGAGAUUCCUCGGGAUGAUCCUAGCGGCGGACGGGUGAGUAACACGUGGCAACCUGCCUCAUAGAGAGGAAUAGCCUUCCGAAAGGGAGAUUAAUACCUCAUAACAUUGCAGUUUCGCAUGGAACAGCAAUUAAAGGAGUAAUCCGCUAUGAGAUGGGCCCGCGGCGCAUUAGCUAGUUGGUGAGGUAACGGCUCACCAAGGCGACGAUGCGUAGCCGACCUGAGAGGGUGAUCGGCCACAUUGGGACUGAGACACGGCCCAGACUCCUACGGGAGGCAGCAGUGGGGAAUAUUGCACAAUGGGGGAAACCCUGAUGCAGCCAACGCCGCGUGAGUGAUGACGGCCUUCGGGUUGUAAAGCUCUGUCUUCAGGGACGAUAAUGACGGUACCUGAGGAGGAAGCCACGGCUAACUACGUGCCAGCAGCUGC
rnacentral:rRNA from 1 species